GAUGAACGCUGGCGGCGUGCCUAAUACAUGCAAGUCGAGCGAAUGGAUUAAGAGCUUGCUCUUAUGAAGUUAGCGGCGGACGGGUGAGUAACACGUGGGUAACCUGCCCAUAAGACUGGGAUAACUCCGGGAAACCGGGGCUAAUACCGGAUGACAUUUUGAACCGCAUGGUUCGAAAUUGAAAGGCGGCUUCGGCUGUCACUUAUGGAUGGACCCGCGUCGCAUUAGCUAGUUGGUGAGGUAACGGCUCACCAAGGCAACGAUGCGUAGCCGACCUGAGAGGGUGAUCGGCCACACUGGGACUGAGACACGGCACAGACUCCUACGGGAGGCAGCAGUAGGGAAUCUUCCGCAAUGGACGAAAGUCUGACGGAGCAACGCCGCGUGAGUGAUGAAGGCUUUCGGGUCGUAAAACUCUGUUGUUAGGGAAGAACAAGUGCUAGUUGAAUAAGCUGGCACCUUGACGGUACCUAACCAGAAAGCCACGGCUAACUACGUGCCAGCAGCCGCAGUAA
rnacentral:rRNA from 1 species